AUACGUAGGUAGCGAGCGUUGUCCGGAAUGACUGGGCGUAAAGGGUGCGUAGGUGGUUAUACAAGUUGGUAGUGAAAUUCCGGGGCUCAACCUCGGCGCUACUGCCAAAACUGUAUGACUUGAGUGCGGGAGAGGUAAGUGGAAUUCCUAGUGUAGCGGUGGAAUGCGUAGAUAUUAGGAGGAACACCAGUGGCGAAGGCGACUUACUGGACCGUAACUGACACUGAGGCACGAAAGCGUGGGGAGC
rnacentral:rRNA from 1 species